CCUACGUGGGGCAGCAGUGAGGAAUAUUGGUCAAUGGGCGCGAGCCUGAACCAGCCAAGUCGCGUGAAGGAUGACUGCCCUCCGGGUUGUAAACUUCUUUUAUAAAGGAAUAAAGUUAUGCACGUGUGCCUUUUUGUAUGUACUUUAUGUAUAAGGAUCGGCUAACUUCGUUCCAGCAGCCGCGGUAAUACGGAGGAUCCGAGCGUUAUCCGGAUUUAUUGGGUUUAAAGGGAGCGUAGAUGGGUUGUUAAGUCAGUUGUGAAAGUUUGCGGCUCAACCGUAAAAUUGCAAUUGAUACUGGCAGUCUUGAGUGCAGUAGAGGUAGGCGGAAUUCGUGGGGUAGCGGUGAAAUGCGCAGAUAUCACGAAGAACUCCGAUUGCGAAGGCAGCUUACUAAACUGCAACUGACAUUGAUGCGCGAAAGUGUGGGUAUCAAACAGGAUUAGAUACCCCGGUAGUC
rnacentral:rRNA from 1 species